rnacentral:rRNA from 1 species
CAGCCGCCACGGGAAUACAGAGGGUGCGAGCGUUAAUCGGAUUUACUGGGCGUAAAGCGUGCGUAGGCGGCUAAUUGAGUCGGAUGUGAAAUCCCCGAGCUUAACUUGGGAAUUGCAUUCGAUACUGGUUAGCUAGAGUGUGGGAGAGGAUGGUAGAAUUCCAGGUGUAGCGGUGAAAUGCGUAGAGAUCUGGAGGAAUACCGAUGGCGAAGGCAGCCAUCUGGCCUAACACUGACGCUGAGGUACGAAAGCAUGGGGAGCAAACAGGAUUAGAUACCCCUGUAGUCCCUGUCUCUUAUAA